rnacentral:tRNA from 1 species
GCACUUGUAGUGUAAAUUUAACACAUAACAUUUUCACUGUUAAAAUAAAAAUAAUUUUCAAGAGCU